UCAACCUUGUUGGGAGAAGCCGGCUCGUCGCAGUCGGUGCCGAAGGAGCAACCGCCCCGGAAACUCUCAGGCAAAAGGACCAGCAAGG
rnacentral:ncRNA from 2 species